CCUUCCGCUGCGGCCAGAAGAUCCUGCACAAGAAAGGCAAAGUGCACUGGUACAAGGACCAGGAGCCGCUGGAGUCCUCCUACCCCGGGUACCUGGCGCUGGGCGAGGCGCACCUGAGCAUCAUCGCCAACGCCAUCAACGAGGGCACCUACACCUGCGUGGUGCGCCGGCGGCAGCGCGUGCUCACUACCUACUCCUGGCGCGUGCGCGUGCGCCCCUGAGCUCCGGCGCUGAUAAAGGUUUUCUCUCUGACGUC